CAGCAGCCGCGGUAAUACGUAGGGUGCGAGCGUUAAUCGGAAUUACUGGGCGUAAAGCGUGCGCAGGCGGUUUGUUAAGACAGAUGUGAAAUCCCCGGGCUUAACCUGGGAACUGCAUUUGUGACUGGCCGGCUAGAGUAUGGCAGAGGGGGGUGGAAUUCCGCGUGUAGCAGUGAAAUGCGUAGAUAUGCGGAGGAACACCGAUGGCGAAGGCAGCCCCCUGGGCCAAUACUGACGCUCAUGCACGAAAGCGUGGGGAGCAAACAGGAUUAGAUACCCCCGUAGUCCCUGUCUCUUAUAC
rnacentral:rRNA from 1 species